UACGGAGGGGACUAGCGUUGUUCGGAAUUACUGGGCGUAAAGCGCACGUAGGCGGAUUUGUUAGUCAGGGGUGAAAUCCUGGAGCUCAACUCCAGAACUGCCUUUGAUACUGGCGACCUUGAGUCCGGGAGAGGUGAGUGGAACUGCGAGUGUAGAGGUGAAAUUCGUAGAUAUUCGCAAGAACACCAGUGGCGAAGGCGGCUCACUGGCCCGGUACUGACGCUGAGGUGCGAAAGCGUGGGGAGCAAACAGG
rnacentral:rRNA from 1 species